rnacentral:ncRNA from 1 species
UUAAACGAGAGUUUGAUCCUGGCUCAGGACGAACGCUGGCGGCGUGCCUAACACAUGCAAGUCGAGCGGAGAAAUAUCCGACACUGAGAUUUUAUAAAGAGUGAGUAAGCAGCACAAGACCGAUGCGUAUUCAAGCAGAGAGGUCUUUGCGCGAAAAAAGCUUGCUGACACAAUGUGAGAUUUGAGUGUUGGAUGUUUCUUAGCGGCGGACGGGUGAGUAACGCGUGAGUAACCUGCCUUAUACAGAGGGAUAGCCUUGAGAAAUCGGGAUUAAUACCUCAUGACAUAUUUUGAUCGCAUGAUCAAGAUAUCAAAACUCCGGUGGUAUAAGAUGGACUCGCGUCCCAUUAGCUAGUUGGUGAAGUAACGGUUCACCAAGGCGACGAUGGGUAGCCGGCCUGAGAGGGUGGACGGCCACACUGGAACUGAGACACGGUCCAGACUCCUACGGGAGGCAGCAGUGGGGAAUAUUGCACAAU